rnacentral:rRNA from 1 species
CCUUGUACACACCGCCCGUCACACCAUGGGAGUGGGUUGUACCAGAAGUAGGUAGAAUAACCGCAAGGGGUUCGCUUACCACGGUAUGAUUCAUGACUGGGGUG